ACGGAAGGCAGCAGUGAGGAAUAUUGGUCAAUGGACGGAAGUCUGAACCAGCCAAGUCGCGUGAAGGAAGACUGCCCUAUGGGUUGUAAACUUCUUUUGUCGGGGAGUAAAGUUAUCCACGUGUGGAUAUUUGAGAGUACCCGAAGAAAAAGCAUCGGCUAACUCCGUGCCAGCAGCCGCGGUAAUACGGAGGAUGCGAGCGUUAUCCGGAUUUAUUGGGUUUAAAGGGUGCGUAGGCGGCAUGUCAAGUCAGCGGUCAAAGUUCUGGGCUCAACCCAGUGAUGCCGUUGAAACUGAUGAGCUAGAUUGCGAGGGAGGUUUGCGGAAUGCGCUGUGUAGCGGUGAAAUGCAUAGAUAUGGCGCAGAACUCCGAUUGCGAAGGCAGCAGACCAUUUCGUCAAUGACGCUGAGGCACGAAAGCGUGGGGAUCGAACAGGAUUAGAUACCCUGGUA
rnacentral:rRNA from 1 species